CACCGCGGUUAUACGAGAGACCCAAGUUGUUAGACACCGGCGUAAAGAGUGGUUAGGUACUAUUACUUACUAAAGCCGAACACCUUCAAAGCUGUUAUACGCACCUGAAGAUAGGAAGUUCAACCACGAAAGUGGCUUUAUACUUACUGAACCCACGAAAGCUAAGACA
rnacentral:rRNA from 2 species